rnacentral:rRNA from 1 species
UGGGGAAUUUUGGACAAUGGGCGAAAGCCUGAUCCAGCAAUGCCGCGUGUGUGAAGAAGGCCUUCGGGUUGUAAAGCACUUUUGUCCGGAAAGAAAUCCUUGGCUCUAAUACAGUCGGGGGAUGACGGUACCGGAAGAAUAAGCACCGGCUAACUACGUGCCAGCAGCCGCGGUAAUACGUAGGGUGCAAGCGUUAAUCGGAAUUACUGGGCGUAAAGCGUGCGCAGGCGGUUUGCUAAGACCGAUGUGAAAUCCCCGGGCUCAACCUGGGAACUGCAUUGGUGACUGGCAGGCUAGAGUAUGGCAGAGGGGGGUAGAAUUCCACGUGUAGCAGUGAAAUGCGUAGAGAUGUGGAGGAAUACCGAUGGCGAAGGCAGCCCCCUGGGCCAAUACUGACGCUCAUGCACGAAAGCGUGGGGAGCAAACAGGAUUAGAUACCCUGGUAGUCCACGCCCUAAACGAUGUCAACUAGUUGUUGGGGAUUCAUUUCCUUAGUAACGUAGCUAACGNNUGAUGAUGCUCACGGCAGUGGGAGUACGGUCGCAAGAUUAAAAACUUAAACGGAAUUGACGGGGGUCAUAGCUG